rnacentral:rRNA from 1 species
GUCGAGCGAUCGAUGGGAGCUUGCUCCCUGAGAUUAGCGGCGGACGGCUGAGUAACACGUGGGCAACCUGCCUAUAAGACUGGGAUAACUUCGGGAAACCGGAGCUAAUACCGGAUACGUUCUUUUCUCGCAUGAGAGAAGAUGGAAAGACGGUUUACGCUGUCACUUAUAGAUGGGCCCGCGGCGCAUUAGCUAGUUGGUGAGGUAAUGGCUCACCAAGGCGACGAUGCGUAGCCGACCUGAGAGGGUGAUCGGCCACACUGGGACUGAGACACGGCCCAGACUCCUACGGGAGGCAGCAGUAGGGAAUCUUCCGCAAUGGACGAAAGUCUGACGGAGCAACGCCGCGUGAACGAAGAAGGCCUUCGGGUCGUAAAGUUCUGUUGUUAGGGAAGAACAAGUACCAGAGUAACUGCUGGUACCUUGACGGUACCUAACCAGAAAGCCACGGCUAACUACGUGCCAGCAGCCGCGGUAAUACGUAGGUGGCAAGCGUUGUCCGGAAUUAUUGGGCGUAAAGCGCGCGCAGGUGGUUCCUUAAGUCUGAUGUGAAAGCCCACGGCUCAACCGUGGAGGGUCAUUGGAAA